AGUUCUCGUUGAUGAUUGGUGCUUGCACCGAGAUUCAACAUGGAACGAGUGGCGGACGGGUGAGUAACACGUGGGUAACCUGCCCUUAAGUGGGGGAUAACAUUUGGAAACAGAUGCUAAUACCGCAUAGAUCCAAGAACCGCAUGGUUCUUGGCUGAAAGAUGGCGUAAGCUAUCGCUUUUGGAUGGACCCGCGGCGUAUUAGCUAGUUGGUGAGGUAACGGCUCACCAAGGCGAUGAUACGUAGCCGAACUGAGAGGUUGAUCGGCCACAUUGGGACUGAGACACGGCCCAAACUCCUACGGGAGGCAGCAGUAGGGAAUCUUCCACAAUGGACGCAAGUCUGAUGGAGCAACGCCGCGUGAGUGAAGAAGGCUUUCGGGUCGUAAAACUCUGUUGUUGGAGAAGAAUGGUCGGCAGAGUAACUGUUGCCGGCGUGACGGUAUCCAACCAGAAAGCCACGGCUAACUACGUGCCAGCAGCCGCGGUAAUACGUAGGUGGCAAGCGUUAUCCGGAUUUAUUGGGCGUAAAGCGAGCGCAGGCGGUUUUUUAAGUCUGAUGUGAAAGCCCUCGGCUUAACCGAGGAAGCGCAUCGGAAACUGGCAAACUUGAGUGCAGAAGAGGACAGUGGAACUCCAUGUGUAGCGGUGAAAUGCGUAGAUAUAUGGAAGA
rnacentral:rRNA from 1 species